UUUGACAAUGCUGGGAUGUGAUGGGGAGCGAAAUUUAGUAGCGAAGUAGCUGAUUUCACACUGUCAAGAAAAGUCUCUAUCGAGGUUAAAGGUACCCGUACCGCAAACCGACACAGGUGGGUGAGGAGAGUAUCCUAAGGCCCGCGAGAGAACUGUUGUUAAGGAACUCGGCAAAAUGACCCCGUAACUUAGGGAUAAGGGGUGCCACCAUACGGUGGCCGCAGAGAAUAGGCCCAAGCGACUGUUUACCAAAAACAUAGGUUUCUGCUAAGUCGCAAGACGAUGUAUAGGAGCUGACGCCUGCCCGGUGCUGGAAGGUUAAGGGGAUCUGUUAGAGCAAUCGAAGCAGUGAACUUAAGCCCCAGUAAACGGCGGCCGUAACUAUAACGGUCCUAAGGUAGCGAAAUUCCUUGUCGGGUAAGUUCCGACCCGCACGAAAGGCGUAACGAUUUGGGCACUGUCUCAACAACAGACUCGGUGAAAUUGUAAUUCCGGUGAAGAUGCCGGAUACCUGCGACAGGACGGAAAGACCCCAUGGAGCUUUACUGUAGCUUGACAUUGGGUCUUGGUACUACAUGUACAGGAUAGGUGGGAGGCUUUGAAACCAGGACGCCAGUUUUGGCGGAGCCAUCCUUGGGAUACCACCCUUGUAGUACUGGGACUCUAACCAUAGGCCAUGAAUCUGGUCUUGGGACACUGUCAGGUGGGCAGUUUGACUGGGGCGGUCGCCUCCCAAAAGGUAACGGAGGCGCUCAAAGGUUCUCUCAGUACGGUCGGAAAUCGUACGUAGAGUGUAAAGGCAAAAGAGAGCUUGAUUGCAAGACAUACAGGUCGAGCAAGGAUGAAAAUCGGACUUAGUGAUCCGGUGGUUCUGCGUGGAAGGGCCAUCGCUCAACGGAUAAAAGCUACCCUGGGGAUAACAGGCUUAUCUCCCCCAAGAGUCCACAUCGACGGGGAGGUUUGGCACCUCGAUGUCGGCUCAUCACAUCCUGGGGCUGUAGUAGGUCCCAAGGGUUGGGCUGUUCGCCCAUUAAAGUGGUACGCGAGCUGGGUUCAGAACGUCGUGAGACAGUUCGGUCCCUAUCCGUCGCAGGCGUAGGAAAUUUGAGGAGACCUGUCCUUAGUACGAGAGGACCGGGAUGGACGUACCUCUGGUGUACCAGUUGUUCUGCCAAGGGCAUGGCUGGGUAGCUAUGUACGGAAUGGAUAAGCGCUGAAAGCAUCUAAGCGCGAAGCCAACUUCAAGAUAAGAUUUCCCACCGCAAGGGUAAGACCCCAGAAAGACUAUCUGGUUGAUAGGUCGAAGGUGUAAGUGCAGCAAUGUAUUUAGCUUAUCGAUACUAAUAGGUCGAGGACUUGACCAA
rnacentral:rRNA from 1 species